GGGGAUGUACAGGUUUCGACAGGGAUAGAAAGCUCAGGGAAGCGGGUCGUGUUUUUACCUUGGGGUACACGUUAAAGAACUGGGGUAAUAAAUUUAAACGCAAACGAUAAUUUUGCUUACGCUGCGUAAUUAACGCAGCUCUUCUAUUCAAGGCCUUGACCUCUGACGCCGGAUAGAGGACAAUUAUCAGAGGUAGGAAUAGGGUGGAGUCUCGACACCCUAGGGUAAUUUAGAGACAAGCCCAUUAAUAAUUUGUUGUUUUAGGUUAAUGGGAAUUAUAAAACAACUACACUCGUAGAAGCCUGAAGUAAUUUAUUUUUGGACAGGGGUUCGAUUCCCCUCAUCUCCACCA
rnacentral:tmRNA from 1 species